AAGCGCCAUUGAAACUGUUUACAAUUUAUAACGCCUAAAUAGUUUUACAAACGAAAAAAAAAAAACUUGUUGAAAGAGUAUACAGAAGUUGAUUACUGAAUUCAGUAAAACUAAUUCCUACAGAACUGAUUUACUGCAAGUUUUCCAUAAAGGGAUAUUGUUACAAUAAAUCGCUAUACGGAGCUGAUUGAAGGAUAUUAUUAAAUCUUUUUAUUAUAGGAAUACCCGUAAGAUGAUAUUUACUAAAUAUUAAAUCCUUAAUGAGGAUAUCGGUUUUAAGGAGUUAUAGUGGGUUUUCGAUUAAAUGUAGUCAAAUAGUAAAUUUUCGAAAUGGAAUGGCAAAACCAGUUAUAUUU